CAGCCGCCGCGGUAAUGCGUAGGUGGCAAGCGUUGUCCGGAAUUAUUGGGCGUAAAGGGCUCGCAGGCGGUUUCUUAAGUCUGAUGUGAAAGCCCCCGGCUCAACCGGGGAGGGUCAUUGGAAACUGGGAAACUUGAGUGCAGAAGAGGAGAGUGGAAUUCCACGUGUAGCGGUGAAAUGCGUAGAGAUGUGGAGGAACACCAGUGGCGAAGGCGACUCUCUGGUCUGUAACUGACGCUGAGGAGCGAAAGCGUGGGGAGCGAACAGGAUUAGAUACCCGCGUAGUCCCUGUCUCUUAUAA
rnacentral:rRNA from 1 species